CGCUGGCGGCGUGCCUAACACAUGCAAGUCGAACGGGAAUCUUCGGAUUCUAGUGGCGGACGGGUGAGUAACGCGUAAGAAUCUAACUUCAGGACGGGGACAACAGUUGGAAACGACUGCUAAUACCCGAUGUGCCGCAAGGUGAAACCUAAUUGGCUUGAAGAAGAGCUUGCGUCUGAUUAGCUAGUUGGUGGGGUAAAGGCCUACCAAGGCGACGAUCAGUAGCUGGUCUGAGAGGAUGAGCAGCCACACUGGGACUGAGACACGGCCCAGACUCCUACGGGAGGCAGCAGUGGGGAAUUUUCCGCAAUGGGCGAAAGCCUGACGGAGCAACGCCGCGUGAGGGAGGAAGGUCUUUGGAUUGUAAAUCUCUUUUCUCAAGGAAGAAGUUCUGACGGUACUUGAGGAAUCAGCCUCGGCUAACUCCGUGCCAGCAGCCGCGGUAAUACGGGGGAGGCAAGCGUUAUCCGGAAUUAUUGGGCGUAAAGCGUCCGCAGGUGGUCAGCCAAGUCUGCUGUCAAAUCAGGUUGCUUAACGACCUAAAGGCGGUGGAAACUGGCAGACUAGAGAGCAGUAGGGGUAGCAGGAAUUCCCAGUGUAGCGGUGAAAUGCGUAGAGAUUGGGAAGAACAUCGGUGGCGAAAGCGUGCUACUGGGCUGUAUCUGACACUCAGGGACGAAAGCUAGGGGAGCGAAAGGGAUUAGAUACCCCUGUAGUCCUAGCCGUAAACGAUGGAUACUAGGCGUGGCUUGUAUCGACCCGAGCCGUGCCGAAGCUAACGCGUUAAGUA
rnacentral:rRNA from 1 species